UAUCUAUGAUGUAGGAAAGCAUUUAAAUUUCCUUAAAUAUUUCUCAUCAUUAGAAGAAGGUUUCUUCCUCUUUCUGUGAAAAAUUCAUGAUUGCCCUUUUAAGGGU